GGGUAGUUAGGAAGCAAAAAGAAACCAAAACCAAUAUGAAAAUAGGUCUUUGAUGAGAUUUAUAUUACGUAUUUAUUAUAUGUUUAUUUAGGAUCUUUUACAAAAAGAAAUUGAAGUGUCAGCAAAAAGAAACCAAAACCAAUAUGAAAAUAGAAAAAAAAAAGAAAACAAAAAAAUUGAUGUUUAUUUAGGAUUUUUAGUUUGGAAGCAAUAAGAAACCAAAACCAAUAUGAAAAAUAGGUCUUUGUUGAGA
rnacentral:lncRNA from 1 species